rnacentral:lncRNA from 1 species
UUUUGGUGGGGAAGGUCUCUCUAGUCUUCCUACACAUUCUUCAGUCGUAAAUCGUCCGAUCUCCUACUUCCUUUGUCGAGUCUUCUUCUGAUGAAUGCUCACGUCCGUUGAAUCCCGCCGGAUACUUGUUAAUGGCACUCCAACGCUCAAGUCAGUAUUAAUAAUGGGAUGAAAAGGUAGAGAUAGAGAGAGAAAAUGAAGUAAAUG